GGCCGGUUAGCUCAGUUAGUAAAGUGUAGCGCUAACAAUGCUAAGGUCGUGGGUUCAAUUCCCGUUCAGUCCC
rnacentral:tRNA from 1 species